UCACGAUGCGUAAGGCGUGUGUAUUAACAAUGCGGAACGGAAACCGCUAAAGUGAGUGGCGCACCAUAGAAGCCUGGAUUUUGCCCCAAGGUAUGGCUGCCUGGUAUCUACGAAGAACUGUAGAAAAACAUGGAUGAUACGCAGAGAAGCGGACAAACGCCUUCCAUGGAUCAGCUGACAUUGCAGUGCGUGCAGGUAAACAAAUUUCGAAGACAGGUCACUGUAGUAGAAUGGCUGGCGCUGUUCUAUGGGCAAAUACAGUGGCCUUUUC
rnacentral:ncRNA from 1 species